rnacentral:rRNA from 1 species
UAACACAUGCAAGUCGAGCGAGGUAGCAAUACCUAGCGGCAGACGGGUGAGUAACAUGUGGGAAUCUGCCUUUUGGUUCGGAACAACACGGGGAAACCUGUGCUAAUACCGGAUAAGUCCUAACGGAGAAAGCUUUAUGCACCAUUGGAUGAGCCCGCACUUGAUUAGUUAGUUGGUAGGGUAAUGGCCUACCAAGACUGUGAUCAAUAGCUGAUUUGAGAGGAUGAUCAGCCACAUUGGGACUGAGACACGGCCCAAACUCC